rnacentral:rRNA from 1 species
UACGGAGGGUGCAAGCGUUAUCCGGAUUUACUGGGUUUAAAGGGUGUGUAGGCGGACUUUUAAGUCAGGGGUGAAAUCCCGAGGCUCAACCUCGGAACUGCCUUUGAUACUAUUGGUCUUGAAUCUUGUUGAGGUGGGCGGAACGGGUCAUGUAGCGGUGAAAUGCAUAGAUAUGACCCGGAACACCGAUUGCGAAGGCAGCCCGCUAAGCAAGCAUUGACGCU